rnacentral:rRNA from 1 species
GAGCGGUAGAGAGAAGCUUGCUUCUCUUGAGAGCGGCGGACGGGUGAGUAAUGCCUAGGAAUCUGCCUAGUGGUGGGGGAUAACGUUCGGAAACGGACGCUAAUACCGCAUACGUCCUACGGGAGAAAGCGGGGGACCUUCGGGCCUCGCGCCAUUAGAUGAGCCUAGGUCGGAUUAGCUAGUUGGUGAGGUAACGGCUCACCAAGGCGACGAUCCGUAACUGGUCUGAGAGGAUGAUCAGUCACACUGGAACUGAGACACGGUCCAGACUCCUACGGGAGGCAGCAGUGGGGAAUAUUGGACAAUGGGCGAAAGCCUGAUCCAGCCAUGCCGCGUGUGUGAAGAAGGUCUUCGGAUUGUAAAGCACUUUAAGUUGGGAGGAAGGGUAGUAACUUAAUACGUUGCUAUUUUGACGUUACCGACAGAAUAAGCACCGGCUAACUUCGUGCCAGCAGCCGCGGUAAUACGAAGGGUGCAAGCGUUAAUCGGAAUUACUGGGCGUAAAGCGCGCGUAGGUGGUUCAGUAAGUUGGAUGUGAAAUCCCCGGGCUCAACCUGGGAACUGCAUCCAAAACUGCUGAACUAGAGUACGGUAGAGGGUGGUGGAAUUUCCUGUGUAGCGGUGAAAUGCGUAGAUAUAGGAAGGAACACCAGUGGCGAAGGCGACCACCUGGACUGAUACUGACACUGAGGUGCGAAAGCGUGGGAGCAAACAGGAUUAGAUACCCUGGUAGUCCACGCCGUAAACGAUGUCAACUAGCCGUUGGGAGU